AUAAGGUCAAGGUAAAAAGGGCUUACGGCGGAUGCCUAGGCGACGGGAGGCGAAGAAGGACGUGGCAAGCUGCGAAAAGCCACGGGGAGCUGCAAGCGAGCGUAGAUCCGUGGAUGUCCGAAUGGGGGAACCCAAAAGAUCCCGAAAGGGAGGCGAACCCGGGGAAGGGAAACAUCUUAGUACCCGGAGGAAAAGAAAUCAAGAGAGAUUCCCUGAGUAGUGGCGAGCGAAAGGGGAGGAGCCCAAACCAUACUGGUGUAAAAGGGUGCUGCCGUUGCCAGUAUGGGGUAGCGGGACAUAAUCGGAGCCGACAGCACGAGGCUCGGUCACGAAGCAUGUAUAGCCGAAAUACCUGGGAAGGUAUGCCGGAGAGGGUGAAAGCCCCGUAGGCGAAAUACAUGUGAGUGGCUGGAUUAUGAUCCCAAGUAGCGUGGGACACGAGGAAUCCUGCGUGAAUCAGGGUGGACCACCAUCCAAGGCUAAAUACUACCCGUCGACCGAUAGCGUAGAAGUACCGUGAGGGAAAGGUGAAAAGGACCCCGGGAGGGGAGUGAAAGAGAACCUGAAACCGUAAGCCUACAAGAAGUGGGAGCUCGAGAGAGUGACCGCGUGCCUUUUGAUUAAUGUGCCCACGAAUUGCAUGUACUGGCGAGGUUAAGCCGGGAGAGGCGAAGCCGAAGUGAAAGCGAGCCUGAAGAGGGCGGAUAGUCAGUAUAUGCAGACCCGAAGCCAGGUGAGCUAUCCAUGGGCAGGGUGAAGUUGCGGUGAAACGCAAUGGAGGCCCGAACCGGUAUGCAGUGAAACGCAUUCGGAUGACCUGUGGAUAGGGGUGAAAAGCCAACCGAACCUGGUGAUAGCUGGAUCUCCCCGAAACGUGUGUAGGCACGGCCUCGUACAAGACUAACGGGGGUAGAGCACUGAUAGGCGUAGGGGGGUAACCUCCGAAACUUGUCAAACUCCGAAUACCGUUAGUUGAUGUACGGGAGACAGACUGUGGGGGAAAAGCUCCAUGGUCGAGAGGGAAACAGCCCAGACCGCCAGCUAAGGUCUCGAAGAGACGGCUAAGUGUGAAAGGUAGUGGACUGCCAGAGACAGCCGGGAUGUUGGCUUAGAAGCAGCCAUCAUUAAAAGAGUGCGUAACAGCUCACCGGUUGAGGCGGACUGCGCCGAAAAUGUAAGGAGGCUGAAGCCGUACGCCGAAGCUGCGGAAUCUGCGGAUUGGUAGGGGAGCAUUGUGCAGUAGGGAGAAGGUAAUUCGUGAGGAUUACUGGACGAAGCACAAGAGCGGAUGUGGGCAUGAGUAACGAGAGGAGGGUGAGAAUCCCUCCCCCCGAAAGCCCAAGGGUACCUGGGGAAGGGUCGUCCGCCCAGGGUAAGCCGGGACCUAAGGUGAAUCCGAAAGGAGUAACCGAUGGGAAACUGGUAAAGAAUCCAGUGCCAUGUAUAUACGAGAUAAGAGGGGGGACGCAGAAGGCGAAGCCUCGUGAGCAAGUGGCACGCUCAUCCAAGCGCAAAGGACAGAGAAGGUAGUAGGUAAAUCCGCUACUGGAGUCUGAAGCGUGAAGGGGAGGACAUAAGUCCAACGAGGUGGUAGCCCGGCUGCCAAGAAAAGCCUCGCUUAUCGUUGAGUAUAUACAUGCCCGUUCCGAAAACCGACACAGGUGGGUGAGCUGAGAAGGCUAAGGGGAGCAGGCUAACCUCCGCUAAGGAACUCGGCAAAAUAGCCCCGUAACUUCGGGAGAAGGGGUGCUCCUUGGUGUGGGCAACUGCACCGGGGAGUCGCAGUGACAAGGCCCAGGCGACUGUUUACCAAAAACACAGGACUCUGCGAACUCGGAAAGAGGAAGUAUAGGGUCUGACGCCUGCCCAGUGCCGGAAGGUUAAGGGGAGUUGUGAGAGCAACGAACCGAAGCCCCGGUAAACGGCGGCCGUAACUAUAACGGUCCUAAGGUAGCGAAAUUCCUUGUCGGGUAAGUUCCGACCUGCAUGAAUGGCGUAACGAUUUGGGCACUGUCUCAGCGGAGGGCCUGGUGAAAUUACAGACUGGGUGAAGAUGCCCAGUACCCGCAGUUAGACGGAAAGACCCCGUGGAGUUUUACUGUAGCCUGACAUUGUAACUUGUCAUGUUGUGUACAGGAUAGGUGGGAGGCAGAGAAACCUGCUCGCCAGGGUAGGUGGAGCCGCCGGUGGGAUACCACCCUCAGCAUGAUGGGUUACUAACCAUUGAGUGUGAAGAGCACUGAUGGGACAGUGUUAGGUGGGCAGUUUGACUGGGGCGGUCGCCUCCUAAAGAGUAACGGAGGUGCGCGAAGGUAGGCUCAUGUGGGUUGGAAAUCCACAGGAGAGUGUAAAGGCAAAAGCCUGCCUGACUGCGAGACUGACAGGUCGAGCAGGGUGGAAACACGGUCUUAGUGACCCGGCGGAUCCGAGUGGAAGGGCCGUCGAUCAACGGAUAAAAGUUACCCCGGGGAUAACAGGCUUAUCGCGCUCAAGAGUUCAUAUCGACGGCGCGGAUUGGCACCUCGAUGUCGACUCAUCGCAUCCUGGGGCUGAAGUAGGUCCCAAGGGUUGGGCUGUUCGCCCAUUAAAGCGGUACGUGAGUUGGGUUCAGAACGUCGUGAGACAGUUCGGUCCCUAUCUGCUGCGGGCGUAGGAAACUUGAGGGGGGUCACACCUAGUACGAGAGGACCGGUGUGAGGGUACCACUGGUAAAUCAGCUGUUCCGCCAGGAGCAGGAGCUGAGUAGCCACGUACCUGACCGAUAACCGCUGAAAGCAUCUAAGCGGGAAACGGGCCCCGAGAUGAGGUUUCCCACUCCAUAUGGAGGUAAGGGCAGUUCGAGACUAGGACGUAGAUAGGCCGGAGGUGUAAGUACAGUGAUGUAUUGAGCCGACCGGUACUAAUAGCCCGAGGCCUUGACCUUAU
rnacentral:rRNA from 1 species